UUAAAAACCACUCUACGCCACCCCAUCUCAUUCGUGGUAUAUUAAGAUAUUGAUUUAUGCUUUUUCUUUCGAGAUUCAUCUUGUUGCGUGCAAAUACUGGGAAGCUGUUAACUGUCUCCGUUAUAAUAAUAAUAACACAGUAAUAUAAAGCCACAAUCAAGCUUUUUCCAUCAGAGAAAAUCGCACUUGUUCACUCACCUAAUAGUUCUGAUACUAUCCGAGAGUCUGUUUGGAUUCAGACACUCGAAAAUUCCGUGGGCUUUUUUCUUUCUUUCUUUUGGAUUGGCUGUUUUUAUCUGGAAUUAAGAGUAGGAAAAGGAUUGAAAAAGGGCAAAAAAAAAAAAGCAUUUUCCUUUUUUGUAAUUUGGCAAGUAAUAGACAGUGUGAUAGCAAGAGAGAGAUGAGUAAGAGCCUGGAAAAAAUGGCAUCAAUUGAUGUACAGUUGAGGCUAUUGGCACCCGGGAAGGUUUCAGAGGAUGAUAAAUUGGUGGAGUAUGAUGCUCUGUUAUUGGAUCGUUUUCUUGAUAUUCUUCAGGACUUGCAUGGGGAGGAAAUCAGAGAAACGGUACCGAGUUUUUAUUUUUAUUAAAUUUUCGAAUUUUGUUUAUUAUUUAAGUUUUUUAUUGUGGGUUUUGGCUAAUUUUGUGUUUUGAAUGGGAAUCCCACUUGCAAUUUGUUGAAUUAUUUUCUUAAUUUAUUCUGUGAAUAAGGAGUAAGCUUUUUCAGUGGACAUCCAUUUGAAAUAUUUUUAACCUAUUAAUGUUGCUUGUGCAUGGUUUUGUUAUCACCUUAAUGUAACUCCGACACUGUCAUAGGACUUCGUAGCUUUGUAUAACUCCAAUUUCCGCCUGACUGUAUCAUAGGGUUAAUAAUUAUGUUUUAUUGUCGCUAAUAUUUAACUUUGCAUUUUCUUUUGUCAAAUAAACAGCUUUCCGCUGCUAAUUCUUGUUUAGAGCUAUACAUAUUGUUUUAUUAGCUGAUGAUAUUUGGUUCUCUAAUACUUAACGAGUACAAAGCUCAGAACCUUGAAGUUCGCAUAAUGCUAUUAAAAACAUUCUUGAAGUUUUUAUUGAUGUCAAAGAAUGUGCAUCUGUUGGGAAUUUUACUGGUGUCAGUUUUUGUGAAACCUAUUUUGUGACUUUGAUUAUGGACAAGGUUCAAGACUGCUACGAGCUCUCUGCAGAGUAUGAAGGGUCGCGUGAUCCACAGAAACUGGAAGAGCUUGGGAAAGUCCUAACGAGUUUGGAUGCUGGGGAUUCUAUUGUGCUUGCAAAAUCUUUUUCCAACAUGCUUAAUUUAGCCAACUUGGCUGAAGAGGUUCAGAUUGCAUACAGACGUAGAAGUAAGCUAAAAAAGCGUGACUUUUCUGAUGAGGCCUCAGCAACAACUGAAUCGGAUAUUGAAGAGACACUAAAGAGGCUUGUAGGACAACUGAACAAGACUCCUGAAGAAGUUUUUGAUGCUUUGAAGAAUCAGACUGUUGAUUUAGUAUUUACAGCACAUCCUACUCAGUCUGUUCGUAGAUCUUUGCUUCAAAAGCAUGCAAGGUUUGUGAUUAAUGUUGGUUUAAUGAGAAGUAGCUUAUAUGUAUAGUUCAUUGUUUUACCUACAUGACAGGGCAUCGUGUGGCACCCGUACAUUAUUAUUCAUAUCUAGUUAAAUUUUUGGAAAAUUCUUACCUCUUCCAUUUGCAUGUUUCCAGGAUUCGAGAUUGUUUGACUCAGCUAAAUGCCAAAGACAUUACUCCUGACGAUAAGCAGGAGCUUGAUGAGGCGUUGCAAAGAGACGUAUGUUGUUUGUAUAUUAGGUCUGUCACAGCAUGUGUAACUUGUUCUUCUUAAGAGUUUUCUAUUGUGAUCUGAGUCAGAAUAAUGUCUAUUUUCUAAUUAUGCAUACUUGCACGCUGCAUUAUUUUGUUAGCCUAAAAUUAUUCUCCAACCGGAUCCGGAUCCGGAUCCGGAUCUGCUUUACUGUAACAAAUAACACAAAAAAGUGAUUAAUGGUACCCCUGUAGGUUCUAUACAUCAGUAAGUUUAACAUACUGCCAAGUCU
rnacentral:lncRNA from 1 species